rnacentral:rRNA from 1 species
UACGGAGUGGGCUAGCGUUGUUCGGAAUUACUGGGCGUAAAGCGCACGUAGGCGGCUUUGCAAGUUAGAGGUGAAAGCCCGGGGCUCAACUCCGGAAUUGCCUUUAAAACUGCAUCGCUAGAGUUGUGGAGAGGUAAGUGGAAUUCCGAGUGUAGAGGUGAAAUUCGUAGAUAUUCGGAAGAACACCAGUGGCGAAGGCGACUUACUGGACACAUAUUGACGCUGAGGUGCGAAAGCGUGGGGAGCAAACAGG